UGAUUAGAGGCCUCCUCAUUAUUGAGAAAGCAUUUGAAUCAAGGGACGGCUACCAUUUUGAACCAUCUCUUACUAAGGUAGAAGACUUCAGACAUUUCAUGUUAAAGAAUUGUAACGUAGAUGUUACCGUUGCCAUCUGUCUACAAAAUCGUCACACAAGUGAUGAAGUUUAUAUCGUAGAAUUUUUUUGGCCUCCAACUGAGAGUGAAAUAUCAAAAGUUAAAGCUCUUUGUAUUUUCGAUGACAUGAAACAUAUGAAGACAACGUUUGUAACAGUAAAAGUUCAAGUCCCCGAAAUUAAGUUCCAAGAAGGGCCUUAUAACAAGGUAAUUAUUUAUUCUUCCUUGUUAAUGUCAUAGACUGGAAAUCUAGUUUUAUUUUAACCUAAUCAGUUCCAUAGAAACCCAUAAGGAAAAACUUACAUCAAGAAUGCAGCUUAAUAAAUUAAUUUCACAGUAAAUCUAGUUACCUUUUUUACAAUAUUGGUGGAAUAUCUUUUCAACAUCGUAUUCAUAUUUUCUGCUUAAAUAUUGUAUAUAUAUGUAGUAUCAAAUAGGUUUUCCCUUUGGAUAAAAUAUUGAAAUCAUAUAAAGUAAUAUACAUGAUUUAUUAUUCUCAUUUUUAAUGGAUUAUUUUCAAUGAUCACUCUCAGAUUGUGGAAACAAAACGAAACAAACAGAGAAAGUCGUGGUCAAAGGUUUGGGUGGACUUUGAUAAGUUUGAAGAACAUGGAAAACAAGUAGCCAAAUGUAAACACUGCCUCAAGGUGUUUACAGGGUCAAGUAAGAGUGGAACCACACACUUGAAUAACCACUCGAAAGUAUGUCCUGGUAAGAAAAAACAAAAUCAAGAAAGCCAGUUGAUACUUCCAGUUGAUACCAAUGAAAGAAGCUCAACGUUUGAUCAAGAAAGGAGUCACUUGGAUCUUGUGAAAAUGGUUAUUAAGCAUCAGUAUCCAUUAGCUUUGGUUGGUCAAGAAGCCUUCAAGAAUUUUGUGAAAGGUUUGCAGCCGAUGUUUGAGUUUCAAUCAAGAGAUAAAUUGUUAUCUGACUUCUAUAAGGAAAAGAAAAGAGAAGUUCGACAGGGUUUCAAUUUGAGAGUCACUUUGUGGAAGAAUGGUCUUGGAAAGACUGCAUAUUGUAAGUUCUAUCUUUGUGCAUGUUUAAAUGCAUGUGGGCCAGUCAGCUUGAAUUAUUUUUUAAAAUAAAAAGUAUAACUUUUAUUUAAAUUUAAUUAUAAAAAUAAAAAUACUAAUAUACUCAUAUUUGAAAUAUUUUAAUUUUUAAAAUAGUAAAAUUAACUAUUUUAGGUAGCCUAGACUUGACUCGAUGAGUUUUCAAAUUUUUUGGUUCAAUCCAACUUUAACUUAUGAAUACUUAUCUAUGCAAGAGAGAAUCAAAUUCAUUUGAAUAAGUAUAAUUAUGACAUUAUGUUUUUAAUUUGUUUAAAUUUAAUUAUCUUUAUCAAAUUAAAAGUACAAUGUCAAAAUUCUUUUCAUUUAGAGUGUUAUUUCAAAUGCGUGAUUAGAGUUUUUUUUUUCUUUUUACCAUCCGUGAUUAAAACUUAUUCCUUAUUAAAUUGGGAACCACAAAAUAAUAUUUUUUUUUGUGAAGAAGAAUAGCUUUAAACAUUGUGAAAAUAAAAUGCGGUUUAAAAUAUUUAUUUUAGCCACUUAUUUUGUUUAUAAAAAAUGAUAUUUCAUGGAGGAUGGAACUAUUAUGCUAUUAUAACUAAAGUAUAAUAAAAUAUAAUUUUGUUAAGCAAAAAAGAAAACCGGUAAGUAGAAAAUGUAAUCAAGAUUAGGUCAUAAUUAAAAUAUCCAUUUAUCUUAAUUUUUAAUAAAAAUGCAAAUAAAAGAAAGUGAAUGAAAAUGAAUAUAAGAUGGAACGUGGGAGGAAGUGUAGAAACUUUGGGAGAAUCUUUUUGCAGAAAAAAGAAAACGUACAAGUGAUUAUUUAAUAUUUAGUUUUUAAAAAUUAUUUUAGAAUAAAAUAUAAUUUGGCAAAUAAUUAAAAUCCAAGUGGAAGCCAAAAAUUGAAAAGGCGGUAUCACAUUAUUUCCAGGAACCACGGGAAAAGAAGAAAAUUCAAAGUUGAAACAGUGUAUUCCGCGUGGAGUUUCUCCAUCAAUCAAUGACUCGCGAUUGCUUUUACUUUGGGAUAAACUAACUUCUAAUCUUUGAUUUUGAUAUUUUUUAAUUUAGUCCUUAAUUUUUUUGGUUUACUUUAGUUUUAGAAUUUGAUAAAUUUUUUUAGUUUUAGAUCAUGUGAUGACAUGAUAAUAUGAUACUGUACUAUAUUAUCACUUAAAAAUAUAAUUUUCUUUCCGUUUUAAAAAUUUUUAUAUGCUAUUGUAACACUUUUUUAGUCUUGUUUAUAAAAAUAACAUUAUUUUUAUCUACAAUGAGUAUUUAAAGUUUAGGGUUUAAAGUUUAAGGUUUAGGAUUUAAAUUUGAUUCCUUCAUUAAUUAAUAAAUUUACCUUUAGAUAUUUAUAUUUCUAUAAAAAUUAGAUAAUAAAAUCAGGGAUCAAAUUUGUGAAAUUCUAGUGUUAAUGUAGACAAAAAAAAAAAUUGAGAGGGUAGGUUGAGAUAUUAUUUAAUUUGCAGGCAGGUAAUUUGUAGGAAGCAAAAAGAAAAGUCAAAAUAGAAACAUUGAGUAUUCCGCGUGAGUGAUCAAUGACGCGAGUGAUCAUCUUGCUUCUUUCACUUGCUUUUCUACCAUAUUUCUCUUCUGCGUUACCCAAACUCUGUUCAAUCUCACCUUCUUUCAUGGCUUCUUCUUUUUCCGACACCGCCUUGAAUUUGUUACUAUCCUGCGCUGUAGCUAUUGAAGAUGGGCAUCUGAAAAGCGCCGAUGCGUUCCUUCAAAACAUCUUGAUUCUUGCUGAUGAGAGACGCAACAAAUAUCAAAGCGAAGUGGUGAAAUACUUUGCGGACGCUCUGGUUCGCCGAGCCUACGGACUGCAUCCCGCUUCUUCCAACCUCGCUUUCCCGGUGGAUCCUGCACCAUAUUAUCAUUAUAACAGCUACCAUAUUAAUGGUAAUAUAUCUUAUUUUAAUUGAAUCUAGAAGAGCUGCAAAUAGUGAAAAGUUGCAAAAAUUGGUGUAAGGAAGAAACUGACAGUGGAAACAAAUACAAAGCUGCCAACAAAAUGGUAAGAAAUUUAGUGCUAUUUUUUUUUAUCAUUUCUAUCUUUAUUUAAAGAAUAAAUGUUGUUAUUUCACUUGAACUAAAAAGAUGAGAACUCUUUCUUUAUAGAAUGUUGGCAAAGAAGUGAUACCAUCAAAAUCAUCAGGUAUUUUCAACUAAACAAACUACUUGAAUUUGGUUUUCCUUAACAAUGAAAAUAAAUUAAAUUAUUAAGCAAAGCUUCUUAAUACAGAACUUAAUCUUGGAAGAAACACUAAUGACGUAAUAGAAAUUUCGAGUGAAGAUACGUCGAUCGAUACUAAUCAAUUAGAUCAGGUCGAAAGCUCAUCUUCCGAGUCUGAUAAUGAAACAACAUUGAAGGAUCAAGGAUCAUGGUGUGAACAGGUUCAUACUUCAUUUCUUUGGUUAUACAUACACCUACAUUCUUUUGGUUUUAUGCAUAUGUUAAUGUUUUUACAUCAUGAUUUUAUUUGAUUAUUGUUCUUAUAGGACGUUAAGGCAUAUUUACUCUCAAGGUUUACAAGCAAGGAGCAUAAACGGCUAGAUAAAUGGCAAAAGAAAUGUGAAAGGAAUGAGUUAAAUGGGUAUGUUGCUAGCUUUGAUGAGUUAAUAUUUGAAUAUGAAGUGAUCAUCAUAAUUUAACUAUAUAACAAUGUUUAUAUUUUACAGAAAAAUGAUUGGACGAGAUGUAGAGUUUAAAUUGAUGGGUAACGAAUUGGCACCUUUAUUCAUGGUACCUCAAGAUGAUGAAACUCGAGAAGAGUACUAUAUUAAUGAUUCGGUAAGUAAUUAUCAAAUGUAUAGUGGUCGGGCAUAAAUUAAUUUAGUAAUUCGUAUAUUUGUAUCAUCUUCAUAAUUAUAUUUUGUGUCAUGCAUUAGUUAUCAAGUUGCGUUCAAUGUUAUCAUGUCUACAAUCUAGUAUGAAACUAAUUAAAGAUAAAUCAAUGAUGUUAAUUUUUUAUGUGAUGAUACAGGUUGUUAACGUUUUCUUCGAAUUGCUUAAGAAGAGAUCCGACGAAUUUCCAAAUGCAUACAUCAAUCACUAUUCAUUCAGCUCUCAUUUAGUUGUAAGAACCUAUAUCUUGCCAAAAUCUAUUGGUAUUUAGAAUUGAAAUUGUUAUUAUUUUAUAAGCAUUAUAUAUAAUGAAAGUAACAUAUAUUUUGCAACCAUCAGACUCAAUUGAUAGAAGGAUUGAAAUCAGAACAUGAAGUAUUAGCUUGGUUUAAAGUUGAGAAGCUAAGGGGUGUACAUAAAGUAAGCUCUCUGAUUUUUUUAUUUUUUUUAAUUUUCCUUUUAGCUUUUAAUUGAGAUUUAAAAUGUGUUUGUGAUCGCAGAUGUUUUUACCAUUGUGCAUAUCAUCACAUUGGGUUCUUUUAUAUGUUGAUAUCAAGGAAAAAAUAUUUUCAUGGUUGGAUCCAGAUCCGUCUUCUCAAAUACUAUCUUACCAUUUCGAAAAACCUGUUAAAGUAUUACAGUGCUUUAAAAGCUUUUUACUCCCAAAGCUUGGUUAUAGUGAUGCAAAUGAAUGGCCAUUUGUGGUGCGUAAUAAUAUCCCAAAGCAAAAAAAGUAAGUACUUUUCAUAAUCUACAGCUUUGUAACUUUUUAUUUACUUGUUAUCUUACAAAUUUGUCUCUUUUUUUCAUUUUUUUACUAUAAUGUGAAGCUCGGUUGAUUGUGCGGUGUUUGUGAUGAAAUACGGUGAUUGUCUUACGCACGGUGAAUGCUUUCCUUUCAAACAAGAAGACAUGGUCCAUUUUCGUCGUCGCAUUUUUCUUGAUAUAUAUCGUGAAAGAUUACAUAGAAAAAAUAAAGAUUGAUGCCUUGUUUAAGAACUCAAAGUCAAAAGGAUGUGAAUUCAAAUUUUUGAAAUUUGAUGGAAAUUAUUGUUUUUUAAUGCAUGCAUGAUACUUUUACUCACACAUUUUGUCAAUUUUAAAGUUGAAUUACGAUCAUCUUCUACCGAAUUUGAGGACAAUAUUUCAUUACUUUUUUAUUUUUUAUAUUUUUAAUAUCAUUUUUUUAACCACAUCAUGAAUAUGAUAAAUAUAGUAUUUUUAAAUUUAAUUCUACUCCAACAUAUUUAAGUUGAUUAAGUAUAUUUGUUUAGUUCCUCUCAAAUAUCAAUAAUUCAAUUUAAAUCAUUUUAUUUUAGAGUCUAAAAUAAUUUCAUUUUUUCUUAUAUAUUUAAAAAAAAUCAAAUCAACAAUUUAAUAAAAUAGACUUUUAAAUAAUUUUAUAUUAUAUCAACCAAAUUAUAUAUAUAUAUAUAUAUAUAUAUAUUACAUUCCAUUCAAAUUAACCAAACAAAAAAUAGAACACUUGAUAUUAUACUAAAUAAUCAUACAUUCUAAUAAAAUUUAGAGCAAACUAUUUGGGUGGUCACCCAAUUUAAGGUACGUUCUAUUUUAGUCACUCAACUUUAAAAAUUUUUAAUUUCAUCACUAAAAUUUUUAAAUUUUAAAAUUUUAGUCACCCACAGUUAAAUACUUCACGGAAAGCUAAUGCGGGCAUGUUUUUAUUGAUCUAAUAACAAAUUUAGCCCUUCAAUAUUUAUAUAUUUUAUUAAUUUGAUCCUAAAUUUGAAAUUUUAACAAAUUUAACGUUCAAUGUUUACAAAAAAUUUUAUUUAGUUCUAAUUUUAAAAAAAAAUUCAAUUAAGUUAGCCCUGAAUAUUUACAAAAUUUAUCAAUUUAAUUUUAAUUCGAAAAUUUUAAAAGAAGAAAAAAUAUUUCAAAAGUUCAAAAUAUGUAUGGAAGUUCAAAAAUUUCCAUACGUUACCCAAGAGGAAAGCUUCAUUAAACUUAACGUUAUGAUGAUAGAAGGGUUUAGACUACCUAUCUUUUUAGCUUUUGCUUGUUGAAUAAAAAUCUGAGUGAUUUGUAUUUUGAGUGUCGAGGGCCGAUCAUAACAAUUUUUUUAAAUAUUUUUUCUUCUUUUAAAUUUUUUGAAUUAAAAUUAAGAUUAACAAAUUUUAUAAAUGUUCAGGGCUAAUUUUAUUAGUUUUUUUAGAAUUAGAAUUAAAUGAAAAUUUUUGUAAACAUUGAGCGCUAAAUUUGUUGAAUUUUUACAUUUAGGAUCAAAUUAAUAAUGUGCAAACAUUGGAGGGCUUAAUUUAUUAUUAAACCAAUAAAAAUAGGCCUGCUUUAGCUUUCCGUUAAGUAUUUAACUGUGGUGACUAAAAUUUUAAAUUUUGAAAAUAUUGAUGAUGAAAUUGAAAGUUUUUAAAGUUAAGUGACUAAAAUAAAACCUACACUAAAAUUGGAUGACCACCUAAGUAAUUUACCCUAAUUUUGUUAAGGUAGCCAGAUAUUAUGUGAACCAAAUAGACACUUAGAAGUAAGGUAAUCAAGCCUCUUAAUAGUGUUGGGUUUGGGACGAGCCUAUGUAAUGUUUGAAUACCAUAUAUAGUUAGUCAAAUUUAACUUGAUUUGAAAUAUAAGCCUCAAAAUUUACUUAAAUUCACUUAUAUUUAUAAAUAAUUAGUCCGAACCAUUUAAUCCGUCCAUAUUAUUUUUCAAAUUACAUUUAUUUAUUAUUAAGC
rnacentral:lncRNA from 1 species